GCAUCCGUAGCUCAGCUGGAUGGAGUACUCGGCUACGAACCGAGCGGUCGGAGGUUCGAAUCCUCCCGGAUGCACCA
rnacentral:tRNA from 2 species